AACGAACGCUGGCGGCAUGCCUAACACAUGCAAGUCGAACGCCCGUAGCAAUACGGGAGUGGCAGACGGGUGCAAAACGCGUGGGAACCUACCCUUGGGUUCGGAAUAACCGCGGGAAACUGCGGCUAAUACCGGAUACGUCCUUCGGGAGAAAGAUUUAUUGCCCUUGGAGGGGCCCGCGUCUGAUUAGCUAGUUGGUGAGGUAACGGCUCACCAAGGCGACGAUCAGUAGCUGGUCUGAGAGGAUGAUCAGCCACACUGGAACUGAGACACGGUCCAGACUCCUACGGGAGGCAGCAGUGGGGAAUAUUGGACAAUGGGCGCAAGCCUGAUCCAGCAAUACCGCGUGGGUGAUGAAGGCCUUCGGGUUGUAAAGCCCUUUUGGCGGGGACGAUGAUGACGGUACCCGCCGAAUAAGCUCCGGCUAACUUCGUGCCAGCAGCCGCAGUAA
rnacentral:rRNA from 1 species